CCAAUAGCGUAUAUUAAAGUUGUUGCAGUUAAAAAGCUCGUAGUUGAAUUUCGAAAUUUUUUUAUCGGUUGAAUCAACAGGUUCGUACUGAUUUUAAGAAUUUCUACCUUCUGGAGAACCUUAAUGUCAUUUAUUUGAUGUUUUGGGAAACCAGGACUGUUACCUUGAAAAAAUUAGAGUGUUUAAAGCAGGCUUAUGUCUGAAUAUAUUAGCAUGGAAUAAUGAAAUAGGACGGCAUGGUUCUAUUUUGUUGGUUUCUAGGAUCACCGUAAUGAUUAAUAGGGAUAGUUGGGGGCAUUAGUAUUCAAUUGUCAGAGGUGAAAUUCUAGGAUUUAUUGAAGACUAACUUCUGCGAAAGCAUUUGCCAAGGAUGUUUUCAUUAAUCAAGAACGAAAGUUAGGGGAUCGAAGACGAUCAGAUACCGUCGUAGUCUUAACCAUAAACUAUGCCGACUAGGAAUCGGACGAAGUUAAUUUUUUAAUGACUCGUUCGGCGCCUUACG
rnacentral:rRNA from 1 species